GGUUUGACAAUCUUAGGAUACCUAGAGAAAACUUGUUGAAUUCAGGCUGCUACUAUGAUGUCAUCAUUUGCCGACCAUAGCUUCUCAAAUGGUUGUAUAUUGGUGAAGAGAUUAACACAAGACUACCCUCACUAGGUAAAGCUAAAGAUGAUAUGUAAUGACACCAAACAAUCUGACACAUCAGCUUCCACGCCAUCAUUUUGACCCGGUAAACAGUGAUGCAGAUUAGCAUGGAGGUUGUCUGACAAGAACUCACACUUUGAAUCUAUUUAGGGAGAAGGCAGGAAAUCCGAUGGUGAAGACGGAUUGCGCAAGCUAUAAACGGAGGUAAUGAUUCAGCUAGAACUUUCCAUACGGUGGUGACGAUGGUGGUCCUUAAGAAUCACGUAAACAUUAUCGAUAGAUUCCAAGGGUUUUGGCGAAGACGAUGGUCCGCUUUCCGACAAUGGUUUCGACACCUCUAAUGAACUCCGGUGGAGGAGACUAGGGUUUCGUU
rnacentral:lncRNA from 1 species